rnacentral:rRNA from 1 species
GAUGAACGCUAGCGGCAGGCCUAACACAUGCAAGUCGAGGGGCAGCACAGAAACAGCAAUGUUUUGGUGGCGACCGGCGGACGGGUGCGUAACGCGUAUGCAACCUACCUUUAACAGGGGGAUAACGGAGAGAAAUUUCCACUAAUACCCCAUAACAUCGAUCAAGGCAUCUUGAUUGGUUGAAAACUCCGGUGGUUAAAGAUGGGCAUGCGUUGUAUUAGGUAGUUGGUGAGGUAAUGGCUCACCAAGCCUACGAUACAUAGGGGGACUGAGAGGUUAGCCCCCCACACUGGUACUGAGACACGGACCAGACUCCUACGGGAGGCAGCAGUGAGGAAUAUUGGUCAAUGGGGGCAACCCUGAACCAGCCAUGCCGCGUGCAGGAAGACGGCUCUAUGAGUUGUAAACUGCUUUUAAACAGGGAUAAAGCACAGUAUGUAUACUGUGUUGAAGGUACUGUAAGAAUAAGCACCGGCUAACUCCGUGCCAGCAGCCGCAGUAA